rnacentral:rRNA from 1 species
GAUGAACGCUGGCGGCGUGCCUAAUACAUGCAAGUCGAGCGAACGGACGAGAAGCUUGCUUCUCUGAUGUUAGCGGCGGACGGGUGAGUAACACGUGGAUAACCUACCUAUAAGACUGGGAUAACUUCGGGAAACCGGAGCUAAUACCGGAUAAUAUAUUGAACCGCAUGGUUCAAAAGUGAAAGACGGUCUUGCUGUCACUUAUAGAUGGAUCCGCGCUGCAUUAGCUAGUUGGUAAGGUAACGGCUUACCAAGGCAACGAUGCAUAGCCGACCUGAGAGGGUGAUCGGCCACACUGGAACUGAGACACGGUCCAGACUCCGACGGGAGGCAGCAGUAGGGAAUCUUCCGCGAUGGGCGAGAGCGUGACGGAGCAACGCCGCGUGAGUGAUGAAGGUCUUCGGAUCGGAAAACUCUGUUAUUAGGGAAGAACAAAUGUGUAAGUAACUGUGCACAUCUUGACGGUACCUAAUCAGAAAGCCACGGCUAACUACGUG